GUUCCUCCUGAGUGAGCCGAGACGGCCCAGCUCUCCGGUUCCUUUUCCUUGGUGACGUAGAAUAAAUCAGCUCUCUCUCCUUUCCUAUCCACACCAGCUUUCGGGGAAGCCGAGAAUACAAAUAACACACUUGGAAACACUUGGAAUAGGGGCGCUGUUAUCUUAGUGGUCCUGCAACAUCUCUAUUUGGAAACUAAGAGGCUUGUAGUUAAUUAGUGGCUGCUGUGGAUUGCAUCUAAAGGUCAUGAGGCUUAGCUCUCUUCGGAAUAUGACUGCACUGUUAGACAUGAAUGGCUCACAAGGAGAAGAAUAGCCGUCCUCGUGUGAGGCUCAAGAAACUGAAGUGACCUGCGAUGAGGUGAAGCCGCCUGGAUUCAAGCCCAGGCCUGACUGACUUCGGGGCCCAUGUUGGUUACACGCUGCUUCGUGGCCUCACCAUCUGGUUUUCUAGAGUCUUCAGACAUGGAAG